UACAGAGGGUGCGAGCGUUAAUCGGAAUUACUGGGCGUAAAGCGCGCGUAGGCGGCUUUGCAAGUCGGGUGUGAAAUCCCCAGGCUUAACCUGGGAACUGCAUUCGAGACUGCAUUGCUAGAGUAUGGGAGAGGGAAGUGGAAUUUCCGGUGUAGCGGUGAAAUGCGUAGAUAUCGGAAGGAACAUCAGUGGCGAAAGCGACUUCCUGGACCAAUACUGACGUCAU
rnacentral:rRNA from 1 species